AUUCUCACAGUACUUUUAUUGUCGUCGCUCGUUGUCAUAAAACGUUUGUUAAUCUCUACAAUUCAUUUGAAUUUGUAGACAGUGAAGUUAGUUAAGCGACGGCGAAACUAUCAAUUAAAAAAAGUAAACGUACGUUUGCGAGAAAGAACUAUAUUUUUCUAUUUAUAUUUGCUAUACGUUUAUUAUUCUAGCAAGAGAAAUAAUUCGUUAUUAAUUUUAACAUCUCAAAUCAACUGUGAAAGUUUAAAAGAGAGAGUUUAACAUCCAAUUACAUUUAAAAAAUUUUAUAAUGAAAUUUGAAAAGAUUGUAAAUGAUGAAGUACUGGAAAAAACCACAUAAGAUUGAAUGGCAAAUUAUUUGGGCAAAUGUUAUUAUUGCCAUAUAUAUUUAUUUUACUUUAUGGUUUAAUAGGAUAAAGAUGGUUGAAUAUAUUCCAUAUAUUUAACCUUCUUUUUUCCUAUUAAACUGUGGACUUUCAUCUGGUUCUUCGCUGUUGGUAUAUUUUCAAAUAUAGGAUCCACUGCUGGCGUUCAUCGAUUAUGGUCUCAUCGGUUUUAUAAGGCAAAGUGGCCUUAUUCUUAUGAUUUUCCAGACUAUUUCUUAUCAACGCAAUAAACAAUCUAUGGAGGUUGUAGGAAGAGUACGAACUCGGUCUCUGAAUUCGGACAGAAAAACUCUAAAAACUUAUCUGUAAAAAAAUAAAAAAGGUGCCUAGUAUGGGCUUACCAGUAGUGAAAAUUUA